GAAGACGGCCAUAGCAAGCAGGAAACACCUGUUCCCAUCUGAACACAGAAGUUAAGCUGCUUGUGUUUUAGGCUUUACUUCUCGAAAGAGAGGGAAACCUAAAAGCUGUCUUCU
rnacentral:rRNA from 1 species